UACGUAGGGGGCAAGCGUUGUCCGGAUUUACUGGGCGUAAAGGGCGCGUAGGCGGCAAAUUAAGUCAGCUGUGAAAUCUCCGAGCUUAACUCGGAACUGUCAGCUGAUACUGAUCUGCUAGAGUGCGGAAGGGGCAAUCGGAAUUCUUGGUGUAGCGGUGAAAUGCGUAGAUAUCAAGAGGAACACCUGAGGUGAAGACGGGUUGCUGGGCCGACACUGACGCUGAGUGCGCGAAAGCCAGGGGAGCAAACGGG
rnacentral:rRNA from 1 species